rnacentral:lncRNA from 1 species
GGGUCGAAUCAGAGCUACAAGCUGCCAGCCUAUGCCAGAGCCACAGCAACAAGCCUGGGCUCUUAACCAUCAGGCAACACGGCCUCCAGGAGUGACCUUGACCUUGAUGCCUUCCUGAGACCAUCUCCCUGUGGACGCCAACUCACUGCACACAAGUAACAAGGACCAGUGGUCAUGAGUGCUUUCUUUGUUGAAAUUUAAGAAUAAUCGGUUUGGAGUGCAAUUAUUAGAACUCAAAGAAAAAAAAAAAGAUAAAAAUAAGCUGUUUUUUUUGUUUUGCUUUUUUUAAAAAGAGUUCCUGUUGUGGCUUAGCAGAUUAAGAACCCGACUAUUUAUCCAUGAGAAUACGGGUUCAAUCCCUGGCCUUGCAAAGUGGAUUAAGGAUCAGCACUGCGCCUCGAGCUGCAGCAUAGGUUGCAGCUGAGGCCCGGGGAGCUACAGCUCUGAUUCAACCCCUAGCCUGGGAAUCUCCAUAUACCGUGGGUGUGGCCCUAGAAAAGACAAAGAUAAAGACAAAGGAAAAAAGAGACGAAGAGAAUUCUGUCUGAGAAGUCAUUUAUGAAGGUCAAAGGGUCCACCCUUUAUGGCUCACAGUGUGACAUUUUGAAAAGUGCGUAUCGUGUCACACUCAAGACUGCCCACACUGGGAAGGCAGCCAAGCUUUACUGCCACCUCCACCCCAGGGACAGUGCCCUACUAAAGGCCACAGAGGACCACCCAGCUUCAAAGACUGCUUGUCAUUGCUCACACUUGGGGUGGGAGUUCCCCAUGAAUAAACAAAUAAGAGAGUUUCUAUCACUUCCCAUGUGAUUCAGAAUCAGUGCAGCAAUUAGCCCCGGGUGCUUGCUUAUGAAGGACCCAUCACAAAUGUUUCAUGUGCCAAAUAGCUUUUCAGAAAAAUGACAUGCAAAAGAAGUUCCGGGCCUGUUUCAAGGAUCUAACCAUCUCUUUGUUUUCUCAUGUGUGAUUCAAGAUGAGAGAAAGAAAGAGAGAAAGAAAGAACUGCAGAUGGGAGUGGAAACAGCUUGUGAAUCAAAAAGAAGAUGGGGGAAAAAAAAGAAGGAAAAUCACAGAUGACUCCCCAAACCUCAUGACAACAAUCAGGAUUCUCCCACUUUAGAUGUUUUACAGAACAGCUAAUGAGUUGUCAACAGUUACUUUAUUGAGCGUUUCAAGGUGCAUAGCAUUGUACAGAGCUUGAAAAUGUCAAAUUGACUUUUGUCACAUUCUGUUCAGGUUCCCGCAAUGUCCAUGGUUUUGUGGUUUUUCCUCCUUUUAGCCUACGCUGCUGGCACCUCUGUUACAAGCUUACCAUGAUGCUGCACAUGGAUUAACUGCGCUAUGUUCUCCCCC